UACGAAGGGUGCAAGCGUUACUCGGAAUUACUGGGCGUAAAGCGUGCGUAGGUGGUUUGUUAAGUCUGUUGUGAAAGCCCCGGGCUCAACCUGGGAAUGGCAAUGGAUACUGGCAGGCUAGAGUGCGGUAGAGGGUAGUGGAAUUCCCGGUGUAGCGGUGAAAUGCGUAGAGAUCGGGAGGAACACCAGUGGCGAAGGCGGCUACCUGGACCGAGCACUGACACUGAGGCAC
rnacentral:rRNA from 1 species